rnacentral:rRNA from 1 species
GAUGAACGCUGGCGGCGUGCCUAAUACAUGCAAGUCGAGCGAACGGACGAGAAGCUUGCUUCUCUGAUGUUAGCGGCGGACGGGUGAGUAACACGUGGAUAACCUACCUAUAAGACUGGGAUAACUUCGGGAAACCGGAGCUAAUACCGGAUGAUAUUUUGAACCGCAUGGUUCAAAAGUGAAAGACGGUCUUGCUGUCACUUAUAGAUGGAUCCGCGCUGCAUUAGCUAGUUGGUAAGGUAACGGCUUACCAAGGCAACGAUGCAUAGCCGACCUGAGAGGGGGAUCGGCCACACUGGAACUGAGACACGGUCCAGACUCCUACGGGAGGCAGCAGUAGGGAAUCUUACGCAAUGGGCGAAAGCCUGACGGAGCAACGCCGCGUGAGUGAUGACGGUCUUCGGAUCGUAAAACUCUGUUAUUAGGGAAGAACAUAUGUGUAAGUAACUGUGCACAUCUUGACGGUACCUAAUCAGAAAGCCACGGCUAACUACGUG